rnacentral:rRNA from 1 species
CUACGGGAGGCAGCAGUGGGGAAUAUUGGACAAUGGGCGAAAGCCCGAUCCAGCCAUGCCGCGUGUGUGAAGAAGGUCUUCGGAUUGUAAAGCACUUUAAGUUGGGAGGAAGGGCAGUAAGUUAAUACCUUGCUGUUUUGACGUUACCGACAGAAUAAGCACCGGCUAACUCUGUGCCAGCAGCCGCGGUAAUACAGAGGGUGCAAGCGUUAAUCGGAAUUACUGGGCGUAAAGCGCGCGUAGGUGGUUCGUUAAGUUGGAUGUGAAAGCCCCGGGCUCAACCUGGGAACUGCAUCCAAAACUGGCGAGCUANAGUACGGUAGAGGGUGGUGGAAUUUCCUGUGUAGCGGUGAAAUGCGUAGAUAUAGGAAGGAACACCAGUGGCGAAGGCGACCACCUGGACUGAUACUGACACUGAGGUGCGAAAGCGUGGGGAGCAAACAGGAUUA